UACGUAGGGGGCGAGCGUUGUCCGGAAUUACUGGGCGUAAAGCGCUUGUAGGCGGUCCACCAAGUUUGGGGUGACAGUUGCCGACUUAAUCGGCAAAGUGCCUCAAAGACUGGCGGACUUGAGGGCCACAGAGGGACAUGGAACUCCAGGUGUAGUGGUGAAAUGCGUAGAUAUCUGGAAGAACACCAAAGGCGAAGGCAGUGUCCUGGGUGGUCGCUGACGCUGAGAGGCGAAAGCCAGGGGAGCGAACGGG
rnacentral:rRNA from 1 species